CUGACACAGAACUUCCAUUACCAUGUUGGCAGGUCGAGUCGGCCAGUAGAGAAGGAAAUGAGACUAAUGAUUUCCUGAGUGCAAGUCAAGAUUUUUCUUUGGGUAUUGAGGUGCAGACCUGAAGGCUACACGCUCUGGAUCGGCAGACAUGGAGGAGAAUGACAGGAAACCAACCCUGACACAUUGGCAGUCCGGUGUGGGAACUGGUGGUGGAAAGUUCAAGGUGGCCGAUUCUCUGAAGUCAGUAGGAAGAAAAGACGGAAACAGAGGCGACGCUGCAGGAGGAGGUGGACAGUGAGGCCUUUAAAUAUAUUGCGACUGGAGGACGCAGAAUUUUGCCGCCUUCCUGUCACAUCAGACCUGCAUAUUGCCCCCCACGGUUUUCGGUGGUACUGCACCGUUUGGCCUUGGUGGAAACAAACAGGAAU